GGUGGCAGGGCAGUGAGCAACAGGAGCCUUAUGCUUGAGGCUGCUACAGGAGGAGGAUGAUCAGGUGCUUCCCAGAUGGCUUUCCAAGAUGCUCUCAAAAUUAUAUCCUGCACCAUUGCCUCAUCCUGCUAAUUUGAUUCCAAAACAAGGUUUGGCUUUCGUCUGAGAAAUCUGCCUGACUUGAAACAAUGGGUGAUAUACCUAGAGUCCCCAACUCUUUCCCCAGGAGCAGAUGGGGUCUCAAAAGCUGAUAUUCUUCUUAAAGAACAGAAGCAACUACACAGGCUCUCUACUCCCUCCCAACCCAUCUGUGCCUUCCAAGGAAAACUUACCCAGUCAGGCUCCCUGGGUGAUGUGAUUUACACAGAAUCAGCCUAUUACAGAUACCAUACAAGUACAUGGACAAUGCUCAUGACCAGUGUGGUCAUUGUUGGAACAAUCAACUAUCAAGCACUUGCUUCUUCUAGAUGUGGG